CUAAAAUAUAAAAUAACCAUUGAGAAUAACAAGUUUCAUAUGCGUAUUUAACCGAUAUGCGGCUAAAUGACGAGAAUUCUUUUUUCGAUUUCAGGUUUGCAUUGCAUUCUCAAUGUGGGGAAACAUCUCGAUUUUUUGUUCUUCAAAGCAUUUGACCAGAUGCACUUGCAUCUUCUUCUGCAGCCAGGUAACAGAGCAAGGGUUAACAGCAUUUGCCACAGCAAAAAGACCACAAUCUGAUGAUCCUUUUUGAUGUUGUUGGAGAAUCACUUUGACGUUUAAAGAACCAUCCUGUUCUUGAAGGUUGUUGUAAACAUUCUGGAGUUGCCUUUUUAAUGAUGAAUUCAGGACAUUGCGCAAAGUUUCCUGGCAGUGACUUGUGUUUGAUAUCAGUCUGAGUUUGGCUUAUAUUGGCUUUUGGUUGAAUUAUAUGGAGAUCUAAAGUAAAUAGGGGAUGAUUGGAAAACUUCCCAACAUUUGGUUGUUGAAAAACAGCACAUAUAUGUGUUUACAAGGCAUCUUCCGACUCCUGUAAUCAAGACAUUGGCAGGAAGGCAUUUGGUCGUUUGAUCCCAGAAAAACUUGAUAUGUGGAUGAUGAGCUUGUGACAGUGAAAUGUUUUGUCGUUUCCAUCUUGAUGUUUUUACUUGGAAUGUCAGAUUCCAUCCGUUGAAUAAUAUGAGAAACAACAUACUUUGGUCUAUUGUGCAGGAACUUUGGGAUUUGUUUGCUGUAGGACUUGUACGAAUCGGAUGAUUUGAUAUUCUGUUCCUUAUAUCUAUAAAGAGAAAAUUGUUUCCACAGUGGAUUCUCUUGACAUUGACGGAUGAUGUUCAGGACUUCUGAUAUGGAAUCCAUGUCCUAAUUUUGGGAUAUGAAGACAGCAACAACGAUGUAACAAACAUUUGAUCAGACACAUAAGAAAAACAACGGUAGUGCGUACCUCAAAAGAUGCGAAUUGGAAAACUUUAAAACAUUAACUUUCCAAGUGACAACAAUUGGAAACUCUAUUUUCGAACUAGCAUUUGGCAACAAUUCCAUGAUGAUUUCCCGCGCUUUUUAUGUUUAGAUUCUCAUAGAAUAUAUGUAUGGCAAGUUGCAAUUUUACAAUGUAGGAAAAUGUGAAUUUUUUGUUGCUCGAAAAACAUUUAGCCAAAUGCAUUGUAUCUUCUCAUAUGACCAUAAAA